AGCGUACACGGUGGAUGCCCUGGCAGUCAGAGGCGAUGAAGGACGUGCUAAUCUGCGAUAAGCGUCGGUAAGGUGAUAUGAACCGUUAUAACCGGCGAUUUCCGAAUGGGGAAACCCAGUGUGUUUCGACACACUAUCAUUAACUGAAUCCAUAGGUUAAUGAGGCGAACCGGGGGAACUGAAACAUCUAAGUACCCCGAGGAAAAGAAAUCAACCGAGAUUCCCCCAGUAGCGGCGAGCGAACGGGGAGGAGCCCAGAGCCUGAAUCAGUGUGUGUGUUAGUGGAAGCGUCUGGAAAGGCGCGCGAUACAGGGUGACAGCCCCGUACACAAAAAUGCACAUACUGUGAGCUCGAUGAGUAGGGCGGGACACGUGGUAUCCUGUCUGAAUAUGGGGGGACCAUCCUCCAAGGCUAAAUACUCCUGACUGACCGAUAGUGAACCAGUACCGUGAGGGAAAGGCGAAAAGAACCCCGGCGAGGGGAGUGAAAAAGAACCUGAAACCGUGUACGUACAAGCAGUGGGAGCCUCUUUAUGGGGUGACUGCGUACCUUUUGUAUAAUGGGUCAGCGACUUAUAUUCUGUAGCAAGGUUAACCGAAUAGGGGAGCCGAAGGGAAACCGAGUCUUAACUGGGCGUUAAGUUGCAGGGUAUAGACCCGAAACCCGGUGAUCUAGCCAUGGGCAGGUUGAAGGUUGGGUAACACUAACUGGAGGACCGAACCGACUAAUGUUGAAAAAUUAGCGGAUGACUUGUGGCUGGGGGUGAAAGGCCAAUCAAACCGGGAGAUAGCUGGUUCUCCCCGAAAGCUAUUUAGGUAGCGCCUCGUGAAUUCAUCUCCGGGGGUAGAGCACUGUUUCGGCAAGGGGGUCAUCCCGACUUACCAACCCGAUGCAAACUGCGAAUACCGGAGAAUGUUAUCACGGGAGACACACGGCGGGUGCUAACGUCCGUCGUGAAGAGGGAAACAACCCAGACCGCCAGCUAAGGUCCCAAAGUCAUGGUUAAGUGGGAAACGAUGUGGGAAGGCCCAGACAGCCAGGAUGUUGGCUUAGAAGCAGCCAUCAUUUAAAGAAAGCGUAAUAGCUCACUGGUCGAGUCGGCCUGCGCGGAAGAUGUAACGGGGCUAAACCAUGCACCGAAGCUGCGGCAGCGACGCUUAUGCGUUGUUGGGUAGGGGAGCGUUCUGUAAGCCUGCGAAGGUGUGCUGUGAGGCAUGCUGGAGGUAUCAGAAGUGCGAAUGCUGACAUAAGUAACGAUAAAGCGGGUGAAAAGCCCGCUCGCCGGAAGACCAAGGGUUCCUGUCCAACGUUAAUCGGGGCAGGGUGAGUCGACCCCUAAGGCGAGGCCGAAAGGCGUAGUCGAUGGGAAACAGGUUAAUAUUCCUGUACUUGGUGUUACUGCGAAGGGGGGACGGAGAAGGCUAUGUUGGCCGGGCGACGGUUGUCCCGGUUUAAGCGUGUAGGCUGGUUUUCCAGGCAAAUCCGGAAAAUCAAGGCUGAGGCGUGAUGACGAGGCACUACGGUGCUGAAGCAACAAAUGCCCUGCUUCCAGGAAAAGCCUCUAAGCAUCAGGUAACAUCAAAUCGUACCCCAAACCGACACAGGUGGUCAGGUAGAGAAUACCAAGGCGCUUGAGAGAACUCGGGUGAAGGAACUAGGCAAAAUGGUGCCGUAACUUCGGGAGAAGGCACGCUGAUAUGUAGGUGAAGCGACUUGCUCGUGGAGCUGAAAUCAGUCGAAGAUACCAGCUGGCUGCAACUGUUUAUUAAAAACACAGCACUGUGCAAACACGAAAGUGGACGUAUACGGUGUGACGCCUGCCCGGUGCCGGAAGGUUAAUUGAUGGGGUUAGCGGUAACGCGAAGCUCUUGAUCGAAGCCCCGGUAAACGGCGGCCGUAACUAUAACGGUCCUAAGGUAGCGAAAUUCCUUGUCGGGUAAGUUCCGACCUGCACGAAUGGCGUAAUGAUGGCCAGGCUGUCUCCACCCGAGACUCAGUGAAAUUGAACUCGCUGUGAAGAUGCAGUGUACCCGCGGCAAGACGGAAAGACCCCGUGAACCUUUACUAUAGCUUGACACUGAACAUUGAGCCUUGAUGUGUAGGAUAGGUGGGAGGCUUUGAAGUGUGGACGCCAGUCUGCAUGGAGCCGGCCUUGAAAUACCACCCUUUAAUGUUUGAUGUUCUAACGUUGGCCCCUGAUCGGGGUUGCGGACAGUGUCUGGUGGGUAGUUUGACUGGGGCGGUCUCCUCCUAAAGAGUAACGGAGGAGCACGAAGGUUGGCUAAUCCUGGUCGGACAUCAGGAGGUUAGUGCAAUGGCAUAAGCCAGCUUGACUGCGAGCGUGACGGCGCGAGCAGGUGCGAAAGCAGGUCAUAGUGAUCCGGUGGUUCUGAAUGGAAGGGCCAUCGCUCAACGGAUAAAAGGUACUCCGGGGAUAACAGGCUGAUACCGCCCAAGAGUUCAUAUCGACGGCGGUGUUUGGCACCUCGAUGUCGGCUCAUCACAUCCUGGGGCUGAAGUAGGUCCCAAGGGUAUGGCUGUUCGCCAUUUAAAGUGGUACGCGAGCUGGGUUUAGAACGUCGUGAGACAGUUCGGUCCCUAUCUGCCGUGGGCGCUGGAGAACUGAGGGGGGCUGCUCCUAGUACGAGAGGACCGGAGUGGACGCAUCACUGGUGUUCGGGUUGUCAUGCCAAUGGCACUGCCCGGUAGCUAAAUGCGGAAGAGAUAAGUGCUGAAAGCAUCUAAGCACGAAACUUGCCCCGAGAUGAGUUCU
rnacentral:rRNA from 1 species